rnacentral:rRNA from 1 species
AUUGAACGCUGGCGGCAGGCCUAACACAUGCAAGUCGAGCGGAUGAAGGGAGCUUGCUCCUGGAUUCAGCGGCGGACGGGUGAGUAAUGCCUAGGAAUCUGCCUGGUAGUGGUUGAUAACGUCCUGAAACGGGCGCUAAUACCGCAUACGUCCUGAGGGAGAAAGUGGGGGAUCUUCGGACCUCACGCUAUCAGAUGAGCCUAGGUCGGAUUAACUAGUUGGUGGGGUAAGGCCUACCAAGGCGACGAUCCGUAACUGGGCUGAGAGGAUGAUCAGUCACACUGGAACUGAGACACGGUCCAGACUCCUACGGGAGGCAGCAGUGGGGAAUAUUGGACAAUGGGCGAAAGCCUGAUCCAGCCAUGCCGCGUGUGUGAAGAAGGUCUUCGGAUUGUAAAGCACUUUUAGUUGGGAGGAAGGGCAGUAAGUUAAUACCUUGCUGUUUUGACGUUACCAAAAGAAUAAGCACCGGCUAACUUCGUG